UACGUAGGGUGCGAGCGUUGUCCGGAAUUAUUGGGCGUAAAGGGCUCGUAGGCGGUUUGUCGCGUCGGCCGUGAAAUCUCCACGCUUAACGUGGAGCGUGCGGUCGAUACGGGCAGACUUGAGUUCGGUAGGGGAGACUGGAAUUCCUGGUGUAGCGGUGAAAUGCGCAGAUAUCAGGAGGAACACCGGUGGCGAAGGCGGGUCUCUGGGCCGAUACUGACGCUGAGGAGCGAAAGCGUGGGGGAGCGAACAGG
rnacentral:rRNA from 1 species